UAUGAAAAGUUGAAGAAAAGUUAUGGAUAAUGAAAACAAUGCUCCUUCGUUAUUAAAGUCGAUUGAGGACUAUGAUCCUAUAUUUUUCGAAUUGUUCGUCGACCAAAAACAGUUAUGGAUCAUGAAAACAAUGCUCCUUCGUUGUUAAA